rnacentral:misc_RNA from 1 species
AACAAGGCGUACCUGCGGACCUGCGGAGGGAUCAUUAAAAAAAUACAAAAGGUUCACUUUGUUGAAUCUUUUGAGAUCAUCCAAAACCCUGUAUGCAUGCAAAUUGUAUGAAUGCAUUAAAUGCGUUCAAUCAUUAAUAACAAACAAAACUUUCAACAACGGAUCU